rnacentral:snRNA from 1 species
GUGCUUGCUUCAGCAGCACAUAAACUAAAAGUGGAACAGUAUAGAGAAGAAUAGCACGGCCUCUGAGCAAAGAUACCACGCGCUUUGUGAAGUGUUCCAUGUUUGG